rnacentral:lncRNA from 1 species
GAAAAAAAUAUUUUAUGUUUAUAAAAUUUUAAUUUAUCUAUAAAUUUACAUAAAGGGUGUGUAAGAAACUAUAAUCAUGUAAGAAACCUAAAAUUAUAAAUUUUCGAAUUUUGAUUGAAUAUAUAUACUAUAUAAUAUCAAACCACCUAUUAAAUCUAUUGCAAAUUUACAUGGAAAUAUGUAAAAUGGAAGAUUAGUAGCGGUCCCUGC